CUACGCGGAGCGCGGGUCAUGAUCAGUGCUCUAUCCAGGGUAUGGAUAACGGGUGACAGCCACAGCGAAUCCGGACUGAUCGUGCGGUCAUUCAUGUCAUAUUUAUGGUGUUGCCCGCCUUUCGAUGUCGGGUUGUCAAAUUCUUGCUGCUCUCGUUCCUCCAAUUUACGGCAAUCGACCUCACUGGUGUCAUCGUCAUGUAGAUGUUUUUCUAUUGUGCAGCAUGCUUUUACGAUGCUAGCGUCUGUAUAGAGCCGUCUCCAGCAAUCCUUCACGUCUUUGAAUGGAAACACGCGUAGUUUACUGUCCGCGAGGGCAAGAGCAUUGUCAGUGUUCUGAAGGAGAGCUGAAAUGAGCUUCCCAGUGUCACCAUCGAAACAUUCGCAGAUCGGAUCAUCUGGGGAUGGCGACGAUAUAGUGGACAAGGCUUGACGAGUCAAACGGUGUAUUGAUUGCAUCGGGUCACGUCAAAAGGGCACACCUGUUGAAAAAGAUUGUUGGCGGCGAGCCCUGUGGAUGUGACCAAGCGCCAGCCCGGAAAAUAUCUUUUCCUCCCUCCCAAUGACACCAUUUAGGGCUGGUUUUCAGUUGAGGAUUAAUAUAGUUGCCAUCCGUUAUCAGUUUUGAUGAAAUACGGC
rnacentral:sRNA from 1 species